rfam:Salmo salar isolate Sally breed double haploid chromosome ssa04, whole genome shotgun sequence.
UAUAUGCACGCAUGACUAAGUCACUUUGUAUAAAAGUGUCUGCUAAAUGGCAUAUA